rnacentral:rRNA from 1 species
AACGAACGCUGGCGGCAGGCUUAACACAUGCAAGUCGAGCGAGGACUUCGGUCCUAGCGGCGGACGGGUGAGUAACGCGUGGGAACGUGCCCUUUGCUACGGAAUAGUCCUGGGAAACUGGGGGUAAUACCGUUAUGGUGCCCUAUGGGGGAAAGAUUUAUCGGCAAAGGAUCGGCCCGCGUUGGAUUAGGUAGUUGGUGGGGUAAAAGCCUACCAAGCCGACGAUCCAUAGCUGGUUUGAGAGGAUGAUCAGCCACACUGGGACUGAGACACGGCCCAGACUCCUACGGGAGGCGGCAGUGGGGAAUCUUAGACAAUGGGGGAAACCCUGAUCUAGCCAUGCCGCGUGAGUGAUGGAAGGCCCUAGGGUUGUAAAGCUCUUUCAGCUGGGAAGAUAAUGACGGUACCAGCG